UCCGGGUUUGGACUGUUCGGAUAGGACAUGACGCUUCCUCGGUGUUGGGGGACUUGGUUCUACUUCAGGAGCCGGAU
rnacentral:tRNA from 1 species